rnacentral:rRNA from 1 species
UACGUAGGUGGCAAGCGUUGUCCGGAAUUAUUGGGCGUAAAGCGCGCGCAGGCGGCCUUUUAAGUCUGAUGUGAAAGCCCACGGCUCAACCGUGGAAGGUCAUUGGAAACUGAAGGGCUUGAGUACAGAAGAGGAAAGCGAAAUUCCACGUGUAGCGGUGAAAUGCGUAGAGAUGUGGAGGAACACCAGUGGCGAAGGCGGCUUUCUGGUCUGUAACUGACGCUGAGGCGCGAAAGCGUGGGGAGCAAACAGG